rnacentral:rRNA from 1 species
CCUACGGGUUGCACCAGUGGGGAAUAUUGCGCAAUGGGCGCAAGCCUGAUGCAGCCAUGCCGCGUGUAUGAAGAAGGCCUUCGGGUUGUAAAGUACUUUCAGCGAGGAGGAAGGCAUUAAGGUUAAUAACCUUGGUGAUUGACGUUUCUCGCAGAAGAAGCACCGGCUAACUCCGUGCCAGCAGCCGCGGUAAUACGGAGGGUGCAAGCGUUAAUCGGAAUUACUGGGCGUAAAGCGCACGCAGGCGGUCUGUCAAGUCGGAUGUGAAAUCCCCGGGCUCAACCUGGGAACUGCAUUCGAAACUGGCAGGCUAGAGUCUUGUAGAGGGGGGUAGAAUUCCAGGUGUAGCGGUGAAAUGCGUAGAGAUCUGGAGGAAUACCGGUGGCGAAGGCGGCCCCCUGGACAAAGAAUGACGCUCAGGUGCGAAAGCGUGGGGAGCAAACAGGAUUAGAUACCCCAGUAGUC